rnacentral:rRNA from 1 species
CUAGCGGCGGCCUAAUACAUGCAAGUCGAACGGUGUCUUCGGACAUAGUGGCGCACGGGUGCGUAACACGUAUGCAACCUACCUUACAUUGGGGGAUAGCCUUUCGAAAGGGAGAUUAAUACCGCAUAAGACAGUAGCUGGGCAUCCAGCAGCUGUUAAAGAUUUAUCGAUGUAAGCUGGGCAUGCGUCCAAUUAGCUAGUUGGUGAGGUAAUGGCUCACCAAGGCUAUGAUUGGUAGGGGAACUGAGAGGUCGAUCCCCCACACUGGCACUGAGAUACGGGCCAGACUCCUACGGGAGGCAGCAGUAGGGAAUAUUGGGCAAUGGACGCAAGUCUGACCCAGCCAUGCCGCGUGCAGGAUGAAGGCGUUAUGCGUUGUAAACUGCUUUUAUACAGGAAGAAACGACUCUUGCGAGAGGCAUUGACGGUACUGUAUGAAUAAGCACCGGCUAACUCCGUGCCAGCAGCCGCGGUAAUACGGAGGGUGCAAGCGUUGUCCGGAUUUAUUGGGUUUAAAGGGUGCGCAGGUGGUUUAUUAAGUCAGUGGUGAAAGACGGUUGCUCAACGAUUGCAGUGCCAUUGAAACUGGUAGACUUGAGUAAAGUAGAGGUGGGCGGAAUUGAUAGUGUAGCGGUGAAAUGCAUAGAUAUUAUCAAGAACUCCAAUUGCGUAGGCAGCUCACUUGGCUUUUACUGACACUCAUGCACGAAAGUGUGGGUAUCAAACAGGA